ACGCUUACCUUGCAGGGGCGACACCGCCACCACGAAGGUGCUCCCCAGGGCCAGGCUCGUCCGCUGCACUCUGGCUGUGCCGACCCUGCGAUUUCCCCAAACGUGGGAAACUCGGCUGCAGAAUGUGUGGUCGUGGGGGACUGCGUCCACGCUUUCCCCUA
ensembl:snRNA U1 U1 spliceosomal RNA